GUGGCCAAGGUUUGGUUAAAUUACCAUUUGCAUUUUUACUUCUACUUUUCUUACAUUUACCCCACCCAUUCUUGCCUAUAAAUACACCCCUCCACCCAUUCAUUUUUCCUAAGCUAAUAGCCAAACAUAUGCUGAGAUUUUGAAGAACAAACACUCUCCCAAAGUUUAUUCAAGUGCCUACUUCUUCUACUUCAUCUUUAAAACCUUCGAUUCUCCAUAUAUUCCGAUAUAUACAAGGUUUUAAACCCCGAAGCUUCGUUCCACCCAACCAAGCUCCGCUCAUCUUAGCAUUUUCAUAAACCACUCUUUUCAACCUCCCGAAGGGCUGCCCAAAUUCGUUCGUGUGCUUAAAGUCGUAUCGAACCUCCGACGAAUUUCUCCGGCGAACUUUCGUGGAAUAAUCGUGUAAGUGGUUUCUUUUAGCUUCAAUUAUCCGAGUCUUAAUCGACCAUUUUCAAAGGGCUUUUUUAAACAAAUUUCUCUUCAUCUUAAGCUCUCUUGAUUUCAAAAUACUCGAGUUGGCCACUCGUUAUUAUCGGGAAUUUGUGCACUAACUUUAUUUGCUCACUAACUCAUAUUUGUGCUCCCAUUCCCAUCACUCCCAUACCCUUCUUGUUUUAGUGAGAAACCCAUUUUUCAGCCCUGUGCUCGGUGGGGAUAUCAUUAAGAUAAGAUACGUGGUAUUACGUGUUUAUUUUCCGAACGUGUGUGACGUGAGUGAUUUUACUUGUUUCGGUGGUAAACCCCGUUUGGGCCUUUUCGCUAUCGCGGGGUGUUAUCCGAACAAGCUACUUGGUUCGAUUGCGUUCGUGAGAGUGUGUGCGAUAUAUCUUGCUCGAAUUCGACUCCGUCUUUUCAAAACUCACUCAUCACUCGAUCUUAUUAAAAUCAACAACUUAUAUUUCUCCGCGCGAUAUAAUUUGUUAAAAUUGAACCAACGACUUAACCACCAUACUAAAACGUUAUAAUCGACUAAUUUCAACGUGGUUAAAAUUGGACUAAAACUUGCGGAACCAAAACUUUUAUAAAACAAGGAUAUAUUUGCUUGUGGAUAUUGUGUUCUAACUUUUGCAGUGAGGUGAAGUGAAGUGAGGUGAUCUUCGUUCUAAGACCCAAGUCUUUGACGUAUUGACGGGGAGUUGAUAGUCAUCGCACCGUGAAGAAGAGGAAAGACCCAAGACCUAAUACCUAAGAUCCAAGACCGGCGAAAGGUUUAGAAGUACAAAGACCACUGGAGGUGCAACGACUUUGAGGAAGUAACAAGGAUAGUUACGUUCCGAGACAAGUCUUGUUAUUUACAUUUAUAGUGAGGAGGUAACGAAGAGUUGCGCUCCAAGAUAUAUAUUUGUAAAGGCUUCUCCGCCUACUGUAAAGGAGUUCUUUAUAGUAGAGAAAAUCUCGAGUCCGGGGAGGAGCUCGGGGACUGGACUAGGGGUGAGUGGACUCCAAGGGUUGAGUUAGCCACCGCGAACCAGGAUAAAAUCGCUCGUGUGAUAUUUUCCUUUUCUUUUCUUACACUUCCGCACGUAACUGCCAAUACUCUCGAUACAAGUUCUAAAGAAGGGGUGAAAACUUUUUAAAACGACAUAAAUAUUUUUAAUUGGUGAUUAAGCUAUUCAACCCCCCCUUCUAGCUUAAUUAAACCAUCUAUCGGGACCUAACAAUGUCAUAUGGCCAAAGGAAGGGGGAGGAUUUGUUAAUGGGAAUGGUGGAAAGACAGCUGAUCCAUCAGAUUUGGUGAGUAAACCAUGGAGGCCAAUCACCCGCAAAUUAAAGAUACCAGCUGUUGUUAUCAGCCCAUACAGGAAUUUGUCAAAAUUCAAAGAGCCAAACAUGUUUUUUCUUCUCUAGUCACGUUUUGGGCAGGAGUGCAGGAGAAAGGAGUAUCUUUGCAAUUCCUCGCCGUUCCAAAAGAUGGAGAAGGAUUUUGACUCCACAAUUAAAAGGGAGUGCAUCAUUUGUCUGUAUAAUUUAAACCUCUCUGCUGCAAGUUGUCCGUGUUCGCCAGGACAGUAUUCUUGUUUGCAACAUGCAAUGCAGCUUUGUUCUUGUUCUUGGAGUGAUCGAGUUUUUUAUUGUCGGUAUAAGAUUCAUGACUUGUACCUUCUUGGUGAAGCUUUGGAAGGAAGUCUAGGUGCAGUUUUGUGACAAAAAAAAAAGUCUAGGUGCAGUUUAUAAAUGGGCUUCAGCAAAUCUGAAAAUGAGUAUUGAUUCCAGAGUUCCAUAUGAUGGCUCACCAAGAACAUCCGUACCUGACAACUUAGUAAAAUCAAAGCACACAGAACCUCGAGAGUCGAGAACAUAAUCCAUCUGCAACACCAGCCUCAGAUAAGCUGAAAGACGGAGAAAACAUAACGUUAGGUACAAUAACUAUUACAGAGUCUAUUUAAAUGAAAAUAAAAGGUAAUUGCCUAUAAUAUACCUUGUUUCUACUUUCUAGUAUUUUGGUAGAUGCAAUAGAAGUGUUUAUCUGCGAGUAGUUAUUUGUUUUCGUUGUUACAGUACUGCUCAAGUUUAUCUUGGGUACUCUUGUUCGAUAAUUGAGUGACUUUUUAUAUAUCCCUGACAUUAAUAAAGGAAUGAAAUUUUUGCUGGCUCGGGUGUUUUCUUCACUAAGUUAUAUAUGGAUUAUGAUAACUAGUGCCUGAACACCAGGUGCUUACACUAGAAGAAAAGAAGGAAUAACUGGAUAAAGAUACUGUAAGAGAAACAGAGUUUAUGAGGCAUUCUAACUAGCUUCUACCUGAGACUAGAUAUUUCAUAUUAUCAGCAAGGGUAAUACUGGUUCCUGUUGUAUUGUGGAGGCUAAUCACUUUUUUUCGGAACUGCCAGACAAGGAUCUGCAUCAAUAUGAUGUGGUGGUGCAUUUAAAAGGCCUGGAUGGCACAAAAGUUCAUCUUCCAAGAGCAAACCUAAACGACAUAGCUUUUUUUUUGUGUAAGGAAACGACAUAGCUUUGAUUAUGUACUUUAUAGGCUUUGAUUAUGUACUUGAUAUUUAGAUUAGAUGGAUGUGUAGUAGUUGAUCGAUAUUGGAUUUGAUGGAUGUGUAGUCGGUGAAAUUAGAAUUUGAUGAUUUAUGUACAAUUGGUUUAUAUAUGCAUUAAUAAGAUUUAG